AGAUGUAUACGAUCUCUUUCCUGGGACAUUCCAAACAAUUGAACUGUUUGCAGAUCACCAAGGAACAUGGCUACUACACUGUCAUGUGUCUGACCACAUCCAUGCUGGCAUGGAGACAACCUACACAGUACUCCGGAACAUAGACAACAGGAUUCCAUACUCCACUAAGUCUCCUUCUGGAGGAGUAUCCCACCCAACCAUGGUGCCCUCCAAUGAACAACCUGGCAAAGAGGAGCUCUAUUUCUUUGGCA